GCUGCUGUUGCGGGAAUUGUUGCUGCUGUUGCGGGAAUUGUUGCUGCUGUUGCGGGAAUUGUUGCUGCUGUUGCGAGAAUUGUUGCUGCUGGAGGGGAUUCUGUUGCAGAAAUUGCUGCUGUAACUGUCGCUGCUGCUGCAAUGGAUUCUGCUGUAGAAGCUGCUGCUGCUGCAGGUACUGUUGCUGC
rnacentral:sRNA from 1 species